rnacentral:rRNA from 1 species
CGGACGGGUGAGUAAUGUCUGGGAAACUGCCCGAUGGAGGGGGAUAACUACUGGAAACGGUAGCUAAUACCGCAUAACGUCGCAAGACCAAAGAGGGGGACCUUCGGGCCUCUUGCCAUCGGAUGUGCCCAGAUGGGAUUAGCUAGUAGGUGGGGUAAUGGCUUACCUAGGCGACGAUCCCUAGCUGGUCUGAGAGGAUGAUCAGCCACACUGGGACUGAGACACGGCCCAG